rnacentral:ncRNA from 2 species
AUCGAUGGCGCCGUUCCAGGUGCCCGGUUGCCUCCGGGAGAAUCGGGAAGGCAGUGGAAGUCUGCCACGCGCCCAGCGCUGUGAAGGGGACCUUCCGGACGGAUGCCACUGGCCCCGCGGGCCGGGAAGGUGUCCGGAAGGGGUGAGCCUGAGUCAGAAGACCGGCCUGGAACGUCCUGGGAAG